rnacentral:rRNA from 1 species
UACGUAGGGACCGAGCGUUGUCCGGAAUCAUUGGGCGUAAAGAGCGUGUAGGCGGCCUGUUAAGUCUUGCGUGAAAUCUCGGGGCUCAACCCCGAGCGGUCGUGAGAAACUGGCAGGCUAGAGUGCGGGAGAGGAGAGUGGAAUUCCUGGUGUAGCGGUGAAAUGCGCAGAUAUCAGGAAGAACACCCGUGGCGAAAGCGGCUCUCUGGAACGGUACUGACGCUGAGACGCGAAAGCGUGGGGAGCGAACAGG